GUAGUCAAGGCCCUUUGCUGCCCUGGGCCUUACAGUCCUCUUCUGGGAGAGGGGUCUUCGGGGGAGAGCGGAGCCUGGCCUAUGGGCCGAGUAUCAGCCUCCCCGGCACACAGGCAACGCGGCCCUUGGGACGCCCUCCCGGCCCGAGGCAGUGAGCCAGACCAGCUGGCUUGCAUCUUCUGUUUGGCUAAACCAGUUCCUCCGGUGCUCAGUUACCACCAUCCAGGAAUGGGGGCAGGAGGGUGUUCUCCCAGGAGGCUAGGGCUUCUGAGGGACGGCAGGAGACACCCCAGAGCUGUGCCGGGUCAGAGUUUCUCAUCCCCCCACCUGCUCCCCCUCGGACACAGAGGUGGCCUCCCUCACAGACAGGCCGACCGUGAUGCCGGGUUGGAGCCCCUGGUGCCCCCAGGUGCCCCCUGCCUUCCCUUCCUCCCCCCAGCCACAGCUGAGACCUCACCGACGUGCCCCUGGGACAGCAUGAUGCCUUUGUUACCCAGUCUAAGCUCUGGCCACCUGCCGCACGACAGGCCAGGCAGGAGGGGUUGAGGUCGGGAGCUGAGAGCGGACCUCAGACAUCAGGACGUCGGCCAGGGUCUGAGGAGGGCCGUCAGCUGACUCCAGGCAUUUUGCUGACGUGGGUUCGGCCCCGAUGUUCCCGGAAGUGCCUGAUGGUCCCGUUGUCAUUUCUGUCCGUGCGUCCUUGUCUCCUU